rnacentral:rRNA from 1 species
AUUGAACGCUGGCGGCAUGCCUUACACAUGCAAGUCGAACGGCAGCGCGGACUUCGGUCUGGCGGCGAGUGGCGAACGGGUGAGUAAAGCAUCGGAACGUGCCCUGUAGUGGGGGAUAACUCUCCGAAAGGAGUGCUAAUACCGCAUAUACUGUGAGCAGGAAAGCAGGGGACCUUCGGGCCUUGUGCUACAGGAGCGGCCGAUGUCAGAUUAGCUAGUUGGUGGGGUAAAGGCCUACCAAGGCGACGAUCUGUAGCGGGUCUGAGAGGAUGAUCCGCCACACUGGGACUGAGACACGGCCCAGACUCCUACGGGAGGCAGCAGUGGGGAAUUUUGGACAAUGGGGGCAACCCUGAUCCAGCCAUGCCGCGUGCAGGAUGAAGGCCUUCGGGUUGUAAACUGCUUUUGUACGGAACGAAAAGGUUUGGCCUAAUAAGCUGAGCUCAUGACGGUACCGUAAGAAUAAGCACCGGCUAACUACGUGCCAGCCGCCGCGGUAAUAC